GUGGGGAAUAUUGGACAAUGGGCGAAAGCCUGAUCCAGCCAUGCCGCGUGAGUGAUGAAGGCCCUAGGGUUGUAAAGCUCUUUCACCGGAGAAGAUAAUGACGGUAUCCGGAGAAGAAGCCCCGGCUAACUUCGUGCCAGCAGCCGCGGUAAUACGAAGGGGGCUAGCGUUGUUCGGAAUUACUGGGCGUAAAGCGCACGUAGGCGGACAUUUAAGUCAGGGGUGAAAUCCCGGGGCUCAACCCCGGAACUGCCUUUGAUACUGGGUGUCUGGAGUAUGGAAGAGGUAAGUGGAAUUCCGAGUGUAGAGGUGAAAUUCGUAGAUAUUCGGAGGAACACCAGUGGCGAAGGCGGCUUACUGGUCCAUUACUGACGCUGAGGUGCGAAAGCGUGGGGAGCAAACAGGAUUAGAAACCCGAGUAGUCC
rnacentral:rRNA from 1 species